CACGGGGUUGCGAGCGUUGUCCGGAAUUACUAGGCGUAAAGGGCAGGCAGGCGGAUCCAUAAGUUUAUCGUUUAGGGCGUCGGCUUAACCGGCGUAGGGCGGUAGAUACUGUGGAUCUGGAAUGCGGUUGGGGAAGACAGAAUUCCUGGUGUAGCGGUGGAAUGCGCAGAGAUCAGGAGGAAUACCGAAGGCGAAGGCAGUCUUCCAAGCCGUUAUUGACGCUCAACUGCGAAGGUGUGGGGUAUCAAAUAGGAUUAGAUACCCUGGUAGUCCCUGA
rnacentral:rRNA from 1 species